ACGUGCCAGCAGCCGCGGUAAUACGUAGGUGGCAAGCGUUGUCCGGAAUUAUUGGGCGUAAAGGGCUCGCAGGCGGUUUCUUAAGUCUGAUGUGAAAGCCCCCGGCUCAACCGGKGAGGGUCAUUGGAAACUGGGAAACUUGAGUGCAGAAGAGGAGAGUGGAAUUCCACGUGUAGCGGUGAAAUGCGUAGAGAUGUGGAGGAACACCAGUGGCGAAGGCGACUCUCUGGUCUGUAACUGACGCUGAGGAGCGAAAGCGUGGGGAGCGAACAGGAUUAGAUACCCUGGUAGUCCACGCCGUAAACGAUGAGUGCUAAGUGUUAGGGGGUUUCCGCCCCUUAGUGCUGCAGCUAACGCAUUAAGCACUCCGCCUGGGGAGUACGGUCGCAAGACUGAAACUCAAAGGAAUUGACGGGGGCCCGCACAAGCGGUGGAGCAUGUGGUUUAAUUCGAAGCAACGCGAAGAACCUUACCAGGUCUUGACAUCCUCUGACAACCCUAGAGAUAGGGCUUUCCCUUCGGGGACAGAGUGACAGGUGGUGCAUGGUGUCGUCAGCUCGGUCUUCAGA
rnacentral:rRNA from 1 species